CCUUUUCUGUUAAAUCUGUGAUACUUUUACUAUGAAGUUUUGUGAAAAAUUAUAUCCCAGAACGGAAAGUUGAUAUGCACUACUAUUUAUAUUCAAAGGUCAAAAUAUAGGGCUGUGCAACAUAUUUUCAACAUUUAUAUGCCCUGAGCUUUUAUUUUUGAGUUUAAACUUAAACUAAAAUACUAUACUACCCCUACCUCCACUAUUCAACUUCCUAAGAAUUGAUUUUUUUUUGUUUUUCUAUACUGGUAACAUUCCCAAGUUGUGUCUCUAUGAGAUGAAAUACAGAGAUCAGAUCUAGGAACAAGUACGUUGACAAAUUAACAUAUCUAUAAAAAUUAAUAUUUCAUAUCUCCCCAAAAGAGACAUGACUUGUGAAACAGCUGUAUUUACUAAGUGCAACCUAUAAAAUAACAUGUAUCUUUUUUACGAAAACCUUUUGUAAAAAACCCACUUACAUUCAAACCAUGAAAAUUGAUAACCACAAAAUAAAUUACUUUCACAGUAAAACAACAAAACUGAUAAAAAUGAUGCUUCAUUUGGUCAUUAAAGUUCGAUAUGAACAACAGCU
rnacentral:lncRNA from 1 species